UAAAAAUAACCAUCAUGUGCAUUUAACUGACUGACUGCUUAACAUUUUUUGUCAUAUCAAUAAUUGUUUGUCUAAAUUGUCAUUAUCAACGUGUCAUUUGAUUUAUCAACUUGAAGUUGCCAGUUAAGUGUUAGGUAAAAGAGGGUCUAGAAUCUGUUCAAUGAGGUUUCAUUUAACACAUUCACUAUCCGUGCCCCGUAUAUGGGUCAUGGUAAGCCUCUAUCACAAAGCCGUAAGGUUGACAGUUUAGUUUCGAAUAGUGAACGUGUUAAUUAUCUCAUUACUUGUGUGGUUUUACGUAGAUAGCAAUUUUUUUCCAUUUUUCUCCAAAAAAACGUCAUAAAACCUAUAAUUCUAUACUUCAGAAGCCAAGUAAAUAUUUGUUAGCACUUUAUAUUUACACCGAUUAGCCAAAGUCGGUACAAACAAACAGCAUAAAGUCCUAGACAUCGCACGGCCACGUCAUAUUUUAGCUUCACAUAACUGACGGACGCAUGAUCGGACAUUCGGAUCGGAUAAUUUCACUUAGAACCAACGUAUACAAUGUUUAAUGUACCCUACUAUGGGACAUUGCGAGAAAUAAUAAAAAAUUACGAUAUUAUAUUCCCUAGUACGAUAAUUCGCACAUUUUCUACGAUAAUUCACUUGAUUCUAAAAUCGAUUAAAAUAUACUGCGCAGGUCCCCGCUCCAUUUCGACGUAGCUUUAUUGAUGUUGCCAGGCCGCCUGUACAAAGACGUGGUACUUAAAUGAUUUGUACACGUCAUGUGAAGUUGUACCUUGAUUUAAUAAAUAACAUUGCCUAAUUGUUCUCACUAUUGCUCUAAAUUGCAUCAUCCAGUAUUUUCCACAAUCCGUUUUGAGUGUACGAACCGACGAUAGCGAUGGAUGACCUUUCGAGGAGCGCGAUGAUAAAAUUGAGACGGUGUAGAACAUGUUGAAUCUUACGAUGACGUCAUGCUACGAUAGUAUAGACAAGGACAAUAGAUAUACAAGGCUUAUACGGGUAUGAAAGAGUCCACUAUUGUUUGAUCUGCAUCUCUUACUCGUAUUUCGCCCAUAUGCGUCGUAGCUAUCGUCGGAGAAUUUUGUGUAGUUCGCGUUGAAUCGUAUAGUCGUUUGGUUGGGUAUAUGGCUGAAAAAUUAAUAUAAUAUUUUGUUUGUGGAUAUUUUUCAAAGUGUUCAUCGUGUUUCUCUCUGAGUUGCAGUUCCAGUUGAGUUCCAGUUGCAGUUUACAGAUACCUAUAUAUUUACUCAAAGCCUGAACUGCCUUUCAACAUACGUAAUGGCGGACAAAAUUAUUCGCACAAAACCUAAAGUCAAACUUCGAGAUAAGAUUACUGGACGCAGAGACAGCUACAAAAUCCAAACGAUAUUACCAAACAUGACAUAGCUAAACGUAUCAAGUCGACAACGAUUGAAACGCCUGCAGAUGUUUCUCGAGCAGUUUGCUGCAUUCGCGUUAUGGAAAAACAGCUCCAGGAUUAGAUUAUAAGUAUAGUUAACGCUAGUUAGAGGAAAAUCCACAGCCCUAAUGUUUUCAUUAUAGCUUACUGCGGGUAUCAGAUGAAAGGCCGAUUAUGUCUACCUACAGCACAGUGGUGUAAAAGUAGUUAACAUGAAAGUCAUAAAUGACGAUAAAAUUACAUUUUAUUGCUAUUUCUAAAACCACCUAAAAUCAGCUUCCCGCGUCAAGCUACGGGGCAUAGCACACUGCGUCCGAUUGGCACGUCGUCACGUGCCAUGCCCCUAAGAUGAAAACACGUAGACGUAUGUACAGUUCAUGUCCGAAGUCCGAGGAAGCGAAAUGCUUACCACACCGUUGGCGUUGCUACAAGUUGCUCUGAGCCAAAUCCAUGGACCUCGUGCAUGAACUGAAACAGACAGGUUGUGGUAAAACAGACAUGUAAAAGAAACCCCGCAUAACAGUAGUAACAGCCUUUGGUUGAUACUAGUUUGAAUUUGUAAUUUAGUUUCCGAGAAUACGUUACACAAUUGAACGAAUUUUCCGAUGGCUGGCUGUUACGCCUGGUAUGGUAGGAUAGAGCGGUGGUAGCCAGAAGGUUCAACAUGCUGAUCUUAAGAGGGUCGCAAGUUAAAAUCCUGGCUACCACUAACUGACAAUCUAUAGACUAAAGUAGAUAUUAAGAUUUAAAUUCUAAUUUGUAAUGCCCACCAUUUGAGAUAAACUUAAACUACCUCGGAACUGUUUCUAUCGAUAUGACUCGAUGACUAGAGUUACAACUAAAAAUUAGGAACAGAAGAAACAACUAUUGCGUGCAGCGAUCGUGAACGGCUUCUCAUAAACUGUUAAUAGUGCUUAAAAAGUGCUGCGAAACAUGUCGUUAAACCGUAUAAUUAGUUCAGUAAAAACAAAAACAUUUGACUGAACAUUCCAUAAAUGGCGCUGCAUUGUUCUACAUCGCGCUAACGAAGUUUUUUAUGUCAAUUGCAUAGAUGUAACUUUUGCGCAGGUGCCAUUGGACCUCGGUCCGUUGGUACACACCUGCCUUAAUGUAGUCAUUGGGUUUCUUGCGAAAAUCUUCUUAAAGUUUCUUCUCAUUAAGACUUAGUAAUUAUAGUCUAACUAAAACAAAGGUGUGGCAUACGUUUUGCCGUACCAAACUGCCAUGAUUUAAAAUCAUUGGCAACAAUUAUUGAGUUUCUUGCUAGAGUUCUUCUCAUUCAAGAUUUUUUUUAUAUUUUAUUAAAAACCAAGGUGUGGCAUACGUUUCGCCGUACCAAACUGCCAUGAUUUAAAGUCAUUGGCAAUAAUUAUUGAGUUUCUUGCCAGAGUUCUUCCGGUUAAGAUAUUAUUAAAGGUGUGGCAUAAGUUUUGAUGUACCAUACUGCCAUGAUUUAAAGUCAUUGGCAAUAAUUAUUGAGUUUCUUGCUAGAGUUCUUCUUAUUAAAGAAUUGUUUAUACAUUAUUCAAAACCAAGGUGUGGCAUACAUUUUGCCGUACCAAACUGCCAUGAUUUAAAGUCAUUGGCAAUAAUUAUUGAGUUUCUUGCCAGAGUUCUUCCGGUUAAGAUAUUUUUAAAGGUGUGGCAUAAGUUUUGAUGUACCAUACUGCCAUGAUUUAAAGUCAUUGGCAAUAAUUAUUGAGUUUCUUGCUAGAGUUCUUCUCAUUAAAGAAUUGUUUAUACUUUAUUCAAAACCAAGGUGUGGCAUACAUUUUGCCGUACCAAACUGCCAUGAUUUAAAGUCAUUGGCAAUAAUUAUUGAGUUUCUUGCUAGAGCUCUUCUCAUUAAAGAAUUGUUUAUACUUUAUUCAAAACCAAGGUGUGACAUACAUUUUGCCGUACCAAACUGCCAUGAUUUAAAGUCAUUGGCAAUAAUUAUUGAGUUUCUUGCUAGAGUUCUUCUCAUUAUUAUUUUUUAACUAGGUCUGUAUUGCUUGUAAUAUGAGAGCAAUUAAGAUGUUUGAGUUUAAAUACCGUAUUUCGGGUUACAUUGGCCCGGGAGGGUAACUGAAAUAGCCAUUGAGAUUGCAUUUAUAUUAUAGCAUAGAGUCUGUCUAGGCUAACUCUGCAACAACUUGAAUAAAAGAAGUGAGGGCGUGUCAAUACACACGUCAUUAUUUUCAUAGAACAGAUUGAAAUUAAUGAUUAAUGAUGAUAUUGCAACACUUUGUUCUUGCAAAUGGCAUUCAGACACGGAAUAAAUAAUGGUACUACCGUACAAAAAUGAUACUUCCUACGUUCCUACAAAACCGAAGUUUAACAGGAAUUCAGGGACGAAUCACGCUAUCCCUUUCUGAUGUAUGACACUAUCCCUUUCGGCUACUUGAGCUUGUCAAAAUUCAAAUCAUUAUCUUAUCUGCGGCCGUGCACGCAAAGGGACGUUAAUUUGUGCCAACCCUUAUAAUUGCUCGGAGCAAUUCUGAGCCGGACGGAGCUGAGAAUGCCCGAAAGGAGGAGUGUCGCCCCACUGAUUCAGAGUUAACUUGACCAAGAGUCUGUUGUCGUGUGAUUAGUUUUAAGCUUUUUAAUUUUUCUUAGACCCUUGCUUUUCACGUGGGCCAAAGUUACCGUCUGUUGGGUCAAUGUACCGCGACCUCACGGUACUUUAACCAAAACAAAAAUGAGGGGUAUUUGUAAGGGUUAUACAUUUUUGCUCAUACCUUUAAUCUUCACACACUAUCGAAAUUCUACAUUAUAUUCAAUAUAGGUAGAUAUACCAUCGUAUGUGUACAAAGUAGAAAUGUGACGUUCAAAAUUGUCGCUUACCAUAUGGACGAAAUUUACUCGUAUCUUUAUACGAAUAACCUGUCAGAGCGGCCUUAUAGCAUGCGGCAAUGUGGUAUCUUUUUCUUGAGAACAACACAAAUAUUACUUUGUGUAAUAAUUAAGCACAGUUGGUUUGCUGCGUUUGCGAGUGUCAAUUUUGAGUCCCGAGCAAAGGAGAGAUUCCACAGCGGAAUUUGGAAUUUUAAUUUACAACUUGAAGCGUAGCAAGCUUACUGAACGCUUUUAUAUCUAAAUAAAUAAAUAUAAUUGUAAACUGUGUAGUUUAUUUAUUCGAAUUAUGAACUUAAUUUUUACAAUAAUAUGUCAAUAAGUGUAAGUAAUAAAAAUCAUUCAACCAGUGAA